GGUACCUCCGGGCCAGCGGCGGGGGGAAGACGGAGGGUCCAAGGGUUAUCCGGAAUUAUGGGGUGUAAAGGGUUCGUAGGCGGCCUUAUAAGUCAGCGGUGAAAGUUUUUGGCUUAACCAAAAAAAUGCCAUUGAUACUGUAGGGCUUGAAUAUGUGUGAAGGAACUAGAAUAUGUAGUGUAGCGGUGAAAUGCUUAGAUAUUACAUGGAAUACCAAUUGCGAAGGCAGGUUACUAACAAAUGAUUGACGCUGAUGGACGAAAGCGUGGGUAGCGAACAGGAUUAGAUACCCUGGUAGUC
rnacentral:rRNA from 1 species